GCAAGAAUAAGCAAGAAUAAUGAACCGGAAGUACUUUCGUUGUCAUGGUUAUAACAGAGCAUUUUUCAAAUUAAAAACUUGCGUGCUCUGCGAGCUAUCAAGGUGGACUUGCGGCUUUGUAUUGAGUCUGCUGGUUUCUCGUGUGCGAAUUGAAGUGAUGGAAGACUACGGGACUGGAUUCCGGCACAAGUUGGAGAAGUGGCCACGAUCUUCCAUAACGGGUUUUUUUCACAAAACCUCUAUUCCGGAGAUUGUUGAAGGAAAGAAGGUGAAGCGUCUCUUUCACCACUAAACUACAGCAGAAAUACCUGAGCCUCAGAGCUAAUAUCAAUGAUUAAGUAAAGCACGUUUAUACUUUCUAUACUUUUCCGCAUACUGUUAUUUGCCAGUUUUGAGCUGAUUUUUGUAAAGUAAACAUUCAGUAAAUGGUAUUCCCCAUAAGUAAAUAAAUAAUUUCUGUGGUA